CUCUCUCUCUCUCCGUCGCACAUAACAAGGCCAAAACUUUGGCCAGCAAUUUCUUCGCCGUCCGACGACUGUUUCCGGUGAAAUUGGUCCCAAAAGUUUCAUAUCGAUGUCCCCUACCUAACCCAGCCCUUUUCGCAGCUUGAAAACCCAAGGAUUUUGGACUGGAACGACUGGAAGUGUCGGUGGUUUUUGAAGUUUUCGAUGCGUUCCCGAUGAGUACGACCACAGAAACCGACGAGUGAGGUGUCUGGCUAGGAUAUUGCCUAUACCCGCUUAUGUGGGUGUCCGGGCAGUGGAUAUUGUAUGUACCUACAUGGAGAUUACUCUGCAGGUUUCCAACCAGUGGAUAUUGCUUGUACCUACAUGGAGAUUACUAUGUAGGUGUCUGGCCAGUGUAUUGCAUGUACCUACUUAUGUGGGUUUUCGGCCAGUGAUUUGCCUGUACCUACAUUGAGAUUACUCUGCAAGUGUCCAACUAGGAUUUUCCCCAGCCACCUGCCCGAUUUGUCUACACAGGUGGUUGGCUAGUUUCCCCCAUCCCUUGGUCGCCUUCGGAUUUGAUGA